UGGGGAAUAUUGCACAAUGGGCGCAAGCCUGAUGCAGCCAUGUCGCGUGUAUGAAGAAGGCCUUCGGGUUGUAAAGUACUUUCAGCGGGGAGGAAGGGAGUAAAGUUAAUACCUUUGCUCAUUGACGUUACCCGCAGAAGAAGCACCGGCUAACUCCGUGCCAGCAGCCGCGGUAAUACGGAGGGUGCAAGCGUUAAUCGGAAUUACUGGGCGUAAAGCGCACGCAGGCGGUUUGUUAAGUCAGAUGUGAAAUCCUCGGGCUCAACCUGGGAACUGCAUCUGAUACUGGCAAGCUUGAGUCUCGUAGAGGGGGGUAGAAUUCCAGGUGUAGCGAUGAAAUGCGUAGAGAUCUGGAGGAAUACCGGUGGCGAAGGCGGCCCCCUGGACGAAGACUGACGCUCAGGUGCGAAAGCGUGGGGAGCAAACAGG
rnacentral:rRNA from 1 species